CUGGGGUGGAAUGAUAUGGUUUGGCUCUGUCCUCACCCACAUGUCAUCUUGAAUUCCCCCACGUGUUGUGGGAGGGACCAAGAGGGAGGUAACUGAAUCACUGGGGCAGAUCUUUCCCAUGCUGUUCUGGUGGUUGUAAGUCUCACAAGAUCUGAUGGUUAUUAUAAGGGGGAGUUUUCCUGCACAAGCUCUCUCUUUGCCUGCCAUCUAUAUAAGAUGUGACUUGCUCCUCCUUGCCUCCUGCCAUGAUUGUGAGGCUUCCCCAGCCGCGUGGAACUCUUUCAUACAGAGAUGACCAGAGAAUGGAGAUGGCAGGAGGCAGUGCAAAGCAGUGCAAGAAGACCAGGCUCUAGGGGCCGGUUGGAGAGUCUGAAUCUUAACUCUGGCACCUACCUGUCAGUUGAGCAGCCUGAGGGAGAUGAUCUGUCAACAUUUAACGCUACACACAGACAAAUCUUCACCUGCAAUUUCAUUCUCAAAUGACUUCAUACUAAUGAGUAAGUAUCAACACUUCAAUGCAAAACCUCAUUUAGGAUGCAUGGUGACCAGAAUGAUGAAAUCAUUCUUUUGUAGGUAAUCAGUGGAUUUGAUAGAAAAAAAAAUACUUGUUCUGCCCAGUUAAGCCAGACCCUAGGUAACCAGAUGUUUGGCAUACCAAUUGACAUUCUAGUGCCUAAUAAAUAUAUAUAGCCUGGUUAGAAUUUCAUGGAAAUGACUUCAUUUUAAAAAAGAGAUGACUGGAACAAGUUUUAAAAUAGGCUUAUCAGAGGGCACAAGCUAUUCAGUUUCCUCCUUCCCACAGGGUUCUUAUAUGUAGUUCAUUGCAAAACAUAAUACAUAUUUUUGAUAUUCUCUUUGUUAUCAACAAAGCACAAC
rnacentral:lncRNA from 1 species